rnacentral:rRNA from 5 species
GGUUGACCUCGGAUCAGGUAGGGAUACCCGCUGAACUUAAGCAUAUCAAUAAGCGGAGGAAAAGAAACCAACAGGGAUUGCCCCAGUAACGGCGAGUGAAGCGGCAAGAGCUCAAAUUUGAAAGCUGGCUCCUUCGGGGUCCGCAUUGUAAUUUGUAGAGGAUGCUUCGGGAGCGGUCCCCAUCUAAGUGCCCUGGAACGGGACGUCAUAGAGGGUGAGAAUCCCGUAU